rnacentral:rRNA from 1 species
CACCGCGGUUAUACGAGAGGUUCAAGUUGACACCCACCGGCGUAAAGCGUGGUUAGGUGAACCCCUCCCCCCCCCCCCACUAAAGUCGAACGUCCCCCUCGCUGUUAUAUGCCUACGAAGAUAUGAAGCCCAACUACGAAAGUGACUCUACAACACUGAACCCACGAAAGCUAAGGCA